UUACAAAAGGAAAAUACAGGGAAAGGGAUAAACCUCAUUGACUUGGAGAAAAUCAAGAGGUGUGAGCACAGCAUCAGAAAGCCCCCUGGCCCCAGACUGCACCCGCUU
ensembl:misc_RNA